AUUGAACGCUGGCGGCAGGCCUAACACAUGCAAGUCGAGCGGAGCGGCGGACGGGUGAGUAAUGCCUAGGAAUCUGCCUGGUAGUGGGGGAUCACGUCCGGAAACGGGCGCUAAUACCGCAUACUAUCAGAUGAGCCUAGGUCGGGUUGGCUAGUUGGUGGGGUAAAGGCCUACCAAGGCGACGAUCCGGAACUGGUCUGAGAGGAUGACCAGUCAACAGGGAAUGUGGCAACGUUCCAGACUCCUACGGGAGGCAGCAGUGGGGAAUAUUGGACAAUGGGCGAAAGCCUGAUCCAGCCAUGCGGCGUGUGUGAAGAAGUUCUUCGGAUUGUAAAGCACUUUAAGUUGGGAGGCGUUACCAACAGAAUAAGCACCGGCUAACUUCGUGCCAGCAGCCGCGGUAAUUC
rnacentral:rRNA from 1 species